GUGAGAAGGUGCCAAUGGUGCUGUUU
rnacentral:piRNA from 1 species